AAUCUAGAGAAGUAAUGCCCGUGCUGGACCGUGUAUAAGUCUCCUGGGAUGGGGCGUCAUAGAGGGUGAGAAUCCCGUCUUUGACACGGACUACCAGUGCAUUGUGGUAUGCUCUCAAAGAGUCGAGUUGUUUGGGAAUGCAGCUCAAAAUGGGUGGUAAAUUCCAUCUAAAGCUAAAUAUUGGCGAGAGACCGAUAGCGAACAAGUACCGUGAGGGAAAGAUGAAAAGAACUUUGGAAAGAGAGUUAAACAGUACGUGAAAUUGCUGAAAGGGAAACGCUUGAAGUCAGUCGCGUUGGCCAGGGAUCAGCCUUGCUUCUGCAUGGUGUACUUUCUGGUUGACGGGUCAGCAUCAAUUUUGACCGCUGGAAAAGGUCCUGGGGAAUGUGGCAGCUCCGGCUGUGUUAUAGCCCCUGGUCGCAUACAGUGGUUGGGAUUGAGGAACUCAGCACGCCGCAAGGCCGGGUUUCGACCACGUUCGUGCUUAGGAUGCUGGCAUAAUGGCUUUAAGCGACCCGUCUUGAAACACGGACCAAGGAGUCUAACAUGCCUGCGAGUAUUUGGGUGGAAAACCCGAGUGCGCAAUGAAAGUGAAAGUUGAGAUCCCUGUCGCGGGGAGCAUCGACGCCCGGACCAGAACUUUUGGGACGGAUCCGCGGUGGAGCAUGUAUGUUGGGACCCGAAAGAUGGUGAACUAUGCCUGAAUAGGGUGAAGCCAGAGGAAACUCUGGUGGAGGCUCGUAGCGAUUCUGACGUGCAAAUCGAUCGU
rnacentral:rRNA from 1 species